CCCUUAGAUGUCCUGGGCCGCACGCGCGCUACACUGAACGGAUCAGCGCGUUUUCCCUUCCCGAGAGGGACGGGUAACCUGCUGAACCCCGUUCGUGGUAGGGAUCGGGGCUUGCAAUUAUUCCCCGUGAACCAGGAAUGCCCAGUAAGUGCAAGUCAUAAGCUUGCGUUGAUUACGUCCCUGUCCUUUGUACACACCGCCCGUCGCUACUACCGAUUGAACGUUUUAGUGAGGUACUCGGACUGAGCCUCAGAAGAUUCACGUCUUUUGUGCUGCUCGGGAAGAUUCCCAAACUUGAGCGUUUAGAGGAAGUAAAAGUCGUAACA
rnacentral:rRNA from 1 species